rnacentral:rRNA from 1 species
GUGGGGAAUUGUUCGCAAUGGGCGCAAGCCUGACGACGCAAUGCCGCGUGGAGGAUGAAGGUCUUCGGAUUGUAAACUCCUGUUGAUCGGGACGAACCCUUCCCGGGUGAAUACCCCGGGGAGCUGACGGUACCGGUUGAGGAAGCCCCGGCUAACUCUGUGCCAGCAGCCGCGGUAAUACAGAGGGGGCAAGCGUUGUUCGGAAUUACUGGGCGUAAAGGGCGCGUAGGCGGCCGACUAAGUCCGACGUGAAAUCCCCCGGCUCAACCGGGGAACUGCGUCGGAUACUGGAUGGCUUGAAUCCGGGAGAGGGAUGUGGAAUUCCAGGUGUAGCGGUGAAAUGCGUAGAUAUCUGGAGGAACACCGGUGGCGAAGGCGGCAUCCUGGACCGGUAUUGACGCUGAGGCGCGAAAGCCAGGGGAGCAAACGGGAUUAGAAACCCUAGUAGUCC